rnacentral:pre_miRNA from 1 species
GGCUGCUGCUAAGUCCUCUCAGAUUCAAAUUUUGAUACGACAGUGAAAGGCUUGCUAUUAUUCUGAGUCCUCUAAUUCUCCAGAAACAAAAAUACAAAUACACUCUUUGCAGAAUUCACAUAGCAGCAAUAUGGCCAUAUUGCUUCUAUGUGAAUUCUGCAAAGAGUGUAUUUGUAUUUUUGUUUCUGGAGAAUUAGAGGACUCAGAAUAAUAGCAAGCCUUUCACUGUCGUAUCAAAAUUUGAAUCUGAGAGGACUUAGCAGCAGCC